rnacentral:rRNA from 1 species
CUGGCCAUAAACGAUGCAUGCUAGGUAUUGGCACCGCGUUGGUGCUGGUACCGCAGCUAACGCGUUAAGCAUGCCGCCUGGGGAGUAUGCUCGCAAGAGUGAAACUCAAAGGAAUUGACGGGGUCUGGCACAAGCGGUGGAGCAUGUGGUUUAAUUCGAUGGUACGCGAAAAACCUUACCAGGGUUUGACAUGUACCUUACAGGAGUAGAGAUACUCUGCCCGUAAGGGGUGGUACACAGGUGC